AUACAGAGGGUGCGAGCGUUAAUCGGAAUUACUGGGCGUAAAGCGCGCGUAGGCGGCUUGGUCAGUCGGAUGUGAAAGCCCCGGGCUCAACCUGGGAAUGGCAUUCGAUACUGCCAGGCUAGAGUAUGAGAGAGGGAAGUGGAAUUUCCGGUGUAGCGGUGAAAUGCGUAGAUAUCGGAAGGAACACCAGUGGCGAAGGCGACUUCCUGGCCCAAUACUGACGCUGAGGUGCGAAAGCGUGGGGAGCGAACAGUAUUAGAUACCCGAGUAGUCC
rnacentral:rRNA from 1 species